CUAGAGAACUACAGUACGUAUUCAUUUCUUCCGUGUCAACAACAAGAAGUCGGCCAACUAUAUAUACUCUACAAUCAAGUAAUACCGAGGAGUUCUUUGGCCGGUGGUAGUUUUGGCCUGAGUUGGUGAUCGGCAUCAUGGAGGUGGUUAUGAACAUUCUCAAGACACCAGUGCCCAGUGGGGUGUCUAUGACCCUGGGCCUGUUCAUGAUCUUCCUGGCUCUGCUGUACUGGAGAUCUAGGGCUUGUCUUGGCCAGGCAGUGUCUGCCCAAUCCGAGUUCACACUGCUCAAGCUGAACCUCAGCUGAACCCUCCCUGGGACCAGACUCCACCUCUCUCUCAUGGCAGCUGAACGCUCAGCCGUCUGGCUAGAAGACCACAGGACAGAGUGCCACCUACUGGCCAGUGGAGUAAUGACCUGUCUGUCUUGUAAAACAAAGCAGGCUGCUGCUUGGCUAACAGGGUUAUAUUCAUUUGGCACCGAAUUGUGGAAAACAGACUGAAACAAGAAGGGACUACCCGAACUUGUCCAUUUUCUGUUUUGCUACAGAAUGCCCUAAUGAAUACAAUCCUGGUUUAUUCCCACUAUAAAAUMAUUUGAUCGUCUGUUCUUGCGUUUUAUGGAUGGCAAUUCUUCUUUUCUUCAAAUAGACCUUUUUCCCACAUGGUUUGGGCAGGUCCAGUCAUAUUAUUUACUUCCUUUCUGACUCAAUUGUCCAUUCCUUUGCUUUUCUA